rfam:Otolemur garnettii contig143347, whole genome shotgun sequence.
AAAAUAUGAAGAAGUUCUCUCUCCCUGGGCUCUGUCCAGGUGGCGUAGGAGAGCACAGGGCUUUGCCCCAUCAUGUACAGUCCCUUUCCACAAUGUUGGAGAUGAAGCUGGAUGUGGGGUCUGCACCUGCACAUCCCUACGACUUCCUAAGGUCCCGUGGACAAUGACUGGGGAGACAAACUAUGCAGGAAAACAGCC